ACGAACGCUGGCGGCGUGCUUAACACAUGCAAGUCGAACGGUGAAGCGCCUUCCUUUUUGGUGGGUGUGGAUGAGUGGCGCACGGGUGAGUAACACGUGAGUAACCUGCCCCCUUCUUCUGGAUAACCGCAUGAAAGUGUGGCUAAUACGGGAUAUUCUGGGUCUGCCGCAUGAUGGGUCUGGGAAAGAUAUUGUUUCGGUGGGGGAUGGGCUCGCGGCCUAUCAGCUUGUUGGUGGGGUGAUGGCCUACCAAGGCGGUGACGGGUAGCCGGCCUGAGAGGGUGGACGGUCACACUGGGACUGAGACACGGCCCAGACUCCUACGGGAGGCAGCAGUGGGGAAUAUUGCACAAUGGGCGCAAGCCUGAUGCAGCGACGCCGCGUGAGGGAUGGAGGCCUUCGGGUUGUGAACCUCUUUCGCCAGUGAAGCAGGCCUGCCUCGUUUGUGGGUGGGUUGACGGUAGCUGGAUAAGAAGCGCCGGCUAACUACGUG
rnacentral:rRNA from 1 species